ACACUGUGAAGAUGUAUUGCUCUCAUUGUUAAAAAAAAAAAAAGAAAAGAAAAGAAAAGAAAAGCUGAUGGCCAAUAGCUAGGCAGGAUUUUCGGGGCAAGAGGAUGCUGGGAAGAAGGGCAGAAUCUCUGGAGUUGCCAGCUAGAUGAGGAAGAAACAACAUGCAUGGGAAGUUCAUAGAUGAGGUAAAUGAACCUCGGGACAGUGCAUAGAUGAAUAGAAAUGAGUUCAUUUAAGUUAUAAGUGCUAGCCGAAAACAAGCCUGGUGUAGGGGAUGCUGUAGCUACAUCUGCUUGGAGGCUGGCUACAGGGGUCCCUGACCAUGCCUGGGCGUGGUCAGGGGACUUAGAGUGAGGGAUGCUUACGUGGAGUUCUGCUUUCGGUUUCACUUUUGGUUUGCUGUACAGACUGCUGCCCUCCGGCUGGCUAGGUUGCUCUGAAAACUCAUCUCCAGAAGUCCAAGAACACUGCCUGGGUAGAUACUUAAGAAGAGAAGUCCCACACAGCCAAUGAAGACCUGCCUGACAGCAAUCCCUGGACACCCCAGAAAGAAAAUGGGCCACACCUCCACACCUGCACUGGAUCCAACUUGCUCCAUUUCAGCUGACACUCUGGCCAGAGGUUCGGGUACUGACUUCAAUCAAGUUGAGGAUUUCAAGCAAGAUCUUCAAUCAAGCGAAUCCCAUCUAUCAUGGACUGGAUACAAUCCAUUCAAGACUUUCACUAUACUAACAUUUUCUUCCUACAGGACCCCACAUGACUAUCAUUGUCCCAUUUCAGCAGGAAAUAACUUGGAGAAUGCUACACCUCCUUUCCCCCAUUGUUGUCACGUAGGAUAGUGUAUAUACCUAGUUAGGGAUAGCUUUCUAUUGUUUAUGGUUGGGAUUGGAAGGAGGUGUUCAGGUUUGGACACCUCUUUCAGAUGACUUUAGGGUUUAGUUAAAAUAGAUAGUUAGGAUGUAACAUAAGCAGAUUGUUGUAUCUUCUUAUAUUUCACCUUUAUGAUCAUUAAUUUUGGAUACUUUACACUGUUAAGUUUUAAUCCUCUUUUAGACUAAAAGGGGAAUUGCAGGGGAUGCUGUAGCCACGCCUGCUUAGGGGCUGGCUACGGGUGUGCCUGACCAUGCCUGAGAGGGUGUGGUCAGGGGAUGUAGAGGGAGGGAUUUGUACGUGGCGCUGUGCUUUCAGUUUCACUUUCGGCCUGCUGUACAGACUGCUACCGGCAGGCUGGCUAGGUCGCUCUACUUACUACAGCACUCUCGGCAGCCAGUAAGUUUAACUGGAUGGUCUCAUGGGGCUCUUUUCCUUGGUAACAAGCCUGAGCCAUACCUUCUUCAAUCCUGCAGAAAUUCAGAGGAAAAUGGCAUCCAUAUUUAGAAUGAGGUAAAAGCUGACUCAGCGUGUAUAUUGGUCAUGGUUCUCUUUGCUGUCAUCAAAUGCCAGACAAGAAGGAGGAAGGCUUCACUUCGGAUUAUGGUCUGCAGACCGUGGUGAGGAAGACUUGUCUCCGUGGUAGCAGGAGCAUGCAGCAGCUGCUCACUCUCAUCCCCCUGUACCAGGACACAGAUGGGGCUAGACUUGGACUGGGUUACAAACC
ensembl:lncRNA